UCCUGGCUUAGGAUGAACGCUGGCGGCGUGCCUAACACAUGCAAGUCGAGCGAUUCUCUUCGGAGAAGAGCGGCGGACGGGUGAGUAACGCGUGGGUAACCUGCCCUAUACACACGGAUAACGUACCGAAAGGUACGCUAAUACGAGAUAAUAUGCUUUAGUCGCAUGGCUGAAGUAUCAAAGCUCCGGCGGUAUAGGAUGGACCCGCGUCUGAUUAGCUAGUUGGUAAGGUAAUGGCUUACCAAGGCGACGAUCAGUAGCCGACCUGAGAGGGUGAUCGGCCACAUUGGAACUGAGACACGGUCCAAACUCCUACGGGAGGCAGCAGUGGGGAAUAUUGCACAAUGGGCGAAAGCCUGAUGCAAGCAACGCCGCGUGAGCGAUGAAGGCCUUCGGGUCGUAAAGCUCUGUCCUCAAGGAAGAUAAUGACGGUACUUGAGGAGGAAGCCCCGGCUAACUACGUGCCAGCCGCAGC
rnacentral:rRNA from 1 species